rnacentral:rRNA from 1 species
GACGUAGGGCGCGAGCGUUUGUCCGGAUUUAUUGGGCGUAAAGAGCUCGUAGGCGGCUUGUCGCGUCGUCCGUGAAAACCCGGGGCUCAACUCCGGGCUUGCGGGCGAUACGGGCAGGCUAGAGUUCGGUAGGGGAGACUGGAAUUCCGGGUGUAGCGGUGGAAUGCGUAGAGAUCCGGAAGAACACCGGUGGCGAAGGCGGCCCCGCUGGGCAGGAAGACACCGCAAGGUGUCGGCUGACGCUGAGGCGCGACAGCGUGGGGAGCAAACAGG